GUGGGCAGGUGCCUCUCGAGAACUACAUUUUUUCUUUGUAUCACGAAUAGAAAGCAUCGAUCGUUGGUAUUUUAUUUUUAAAAGAAAGAAAAUUUUCAUUCAUUAAGAAUGAUUACGUUAAAAAAAUUGUCUCCCUUACAAAUCGCGCUUUUUUAUAGGCUGGAAAAGAGUUUUCUAAUUUUAUUAAAAAUCUUUGUGUUGUUAUAUCGUCCGGAUAUCAUCGAUCAUGAUAAUCGAAUAAAUACAUUGUCACCGAGAAAGCUUUCGGAUAAUUAUGACUUUGUGGUGAUCGGUGGUGGAUCAGCGGGAUCAGUUAUUGCGAAUCGUCUUUCGGAAAACGAAAAUUGGACGGUGCUUUUAUUGGAAGCUGGUGGAAUCGAACCGAUGUUAUCAGAUAUUCCUGUUAUUUUUCCGACUUAUCAAGUUAGUCCAAUAGAUUGGCAAUUUAAGACGGAACCGUCAUCGUGUUAUUGCCUGGGAAUGAAUAAUAGGCAAUGUAAUUGGCCACGAGGAAAGGUAUUAGGUGGCAGUAGUGUGAUAAAUGCUAUGCUCUAUGUACGUGGUAACAAAAAGGAUUACGAUAAUUGGAGAGAUCUAGGUAAUCCUGGUUGGGAUUACGAGAGUGUACUGCCAUAUUUUAAAAAAUCGGAAAAUAACAAAAUCGAAGGUUUAGAUCCCGCUUAUCAUGGGACUAACGGAGAAAUGACUAUUGAACAUUUCAGAUUUCAAACUCCUGUGACGGAUUAUUUAUUAGACGCUGGAAAAGAGAUAGGUUAUAGAAUAGGUGACAUAAAUGGAUCGAAUCAAACUGGAUUCACGUAUUCUCAUGCAACGAUCAGAGACGGUCUUCGUUGCAGUACUUCUAAAGCUUUUCUUCGGAAGGCAUCGAAAAGAAAAAAUCUUCAUAUAUGCACGCAUUCGAUUGUCGAAAAAAUCCUGAUAAAGGAAAAUUCAAAGAGAGCUUACGGCGUGAUGUUUCGGAACAAUGAAGAAACAUACACCGUUCGUGCGAAUUUCGAAGUUAUUUUGACUGCCGGUACUAUACAGUCACCGCAAUUGCUAAUGCUGUCGGGGAUUGGACCAAUGGAUCAUCUUAAGGAAUUAGAUAUACCAUUGAUCCAAGACAUGCCAGGCGUUGGUUCGAAUCUUCAAGAUCACGUGGCGAUAGGAGGUUUAGUUUAUUUGGUCGAUCCACCGGAAAAAUACAAUUUCAACGAGUUCACUUACGUAUUGCCAAAACUUAUUUCCCUGAAAUCGGUAAGACAAUUUGCUAAGAAAAAAAGUGGUCCUUUAUAUACGGCACCAGAGUGCGAGGCAAUGGCUUUUAUUAAUACAAAAUAUUCAAAUGUCUCCGCAGAUUAUCCAGACAUUCAGCUAUUUAUAGCGGCGGCUUCUAUUAAUUUAGACGGUGGAGUAUUCAGUAAAAGAAUAUUUGGUCUUACGGACGAUUUUUAUGCAAAAGUUUUCAAAAAUAUCAACUAUCAGCAUUCUUACUCUAUUAUACCAAUUCUUUUGAGACCUCGUAGCAGAGGUUAUAUCAAAUUAAGAACGAAAAAUCCCAAAGAUCACCCUAUCAUUGUACCCAAUUACUUUAACAAUCUUCGCGACCUUGAAAUUUUGAUAGAAGGCGCAAAAUUUGCACAUAAAAUAAGUCAAACGAAAAUAAUGCAAAAUGUUAAUGCUCGGGCAAAUCCAAAUAGAAUACCAGCUUGUUCAAUAUUUCAAUUUUCAUCGGAUGAUUAUUGGCGAUGUCACGCACGUCAUUAUACAAUGACAAUUUAUCAUCCAAUUGGUACAUGCAAGAUGGCACCUGCUAACGAUCCUAUGGGUGUAGUUGAUUCUCGAUUGAAGGUACACGGUAUUCAAGGUCUUCGUGUGAUCGAUGGAUCCAUUAUGCCGAAUAUAAUCUCUGGAAAUACUAACGCACCCAUAAUAAUGAUCGCGGAAAAAGGUGCCGAUAUGAUUAAGGAGUAUUGGAAUAACCGAAAUCAUUCGUGAUAAGCAAAAUCAACAAAUUAUUUAAUGUACAAUCUUCAUAUUUCCGAAAAAUUAUUUGAAAUAAUUAAAUAAAUACGUACAUAUAUCUUGUUACAUUAUCAAGCUAUUUUGGCAUUGAGCACAUGUGCGAAUUAAAAUAAUUAAUCGAAUACCUCUAUAUUUCGAUAAUUUUUAUUUACCCACAUGCUGUGUCAAUAUAUUUUUCAUAUGUAUGCUCAGAUGUGCCACAUGAUUUUUAUUAUAAUGAUUACCUUUCAUCUUCCUUUAUUACUUAAAGACAGAAUCAUUUGAAGCUCUAUUCGUUCGCUGGCACUCGAAUCAAACGGAUUCUAACUCUUCAAGAACCUGAUGAUCUUGGAUGACGUACGAUGAUACGGAUUUUAAAAAUGCGCCUACUCGAUUUUAUCUUGCUUUUGGUGCAGUAUGCAUUCGCUAAACAAGUUAAUCCACCGAUGCUCAAUCAAUUGGGCUUAAAUUAUGACAGUUUCAUUAUAUCAAACACAACAGGAUGUUGCGGCUGUAGUUUUGAAGAUACAAAAUACAUGGACACGUUAUGCGGUGGCCAAUCCGCUUUCAUAAAUUUAGUUCAGAAU